GAUGAACGCUGGCGGCGUGCCUAAUACAUGCAAGUCGAGCGAACGGACGAGAAGCUUGCUUCUCUGAUGUUAGCGGCGGACGGGUGAGUAACACGUUGAUAACCUACCUAUAAGACUGGGAUAACUUCGGGAAACCGGAGCUAAUACCGGAUAAUAUUUUGAACCGCAUGGUUCAAAAGUGAAAGACGGUCUUUCUGUCACUUAUAGAUGGAUCCGCGCUGCAUUAGCUAGUUGGUAAGGUAACGGCUUACCAAGGCAACGAUGCAUAGCCGACCUGAGAGGGUGAUCGGCCACACUGGAACUGAGACACGGUCCAGACUCCUACGGGAGGCAGCAGUAGGGAAUCUUCCGCAAUGGGCGAAAGCCUGACGGAGCAACGCCGCGUGAGUGAUGAAGGUCUUCGGAUCGUAAAACUCUGUUAUUAGGGAAGAACAUAUGUGUAAGUAACUGUGCACAUCUUGACGGUACCUAAUCAGAAAGCCACGGCUAACUACGUG
rnacentral:rRNA from 1 species